UGUAAUAAGAUAGGCCAGAAGAACACAGGAAAAAUGGGUCCAUUUGAAGAUGUGCUAGAGAACUCUGGACCAAACCUUAUUUUACAGAUGAGGAGCCAGAAUAAGAGCUGAGUAUCUGCGUGUUGUUUAUUACACAUUCUCUGGGUCUUCAGAAUGUUAGGCUAGAGGUUCCCAGAGCAGGUCGUAUUCUCAAGAAAAUUACUGACUCAAUAGGUCUUAUCUGAUUGAUUGAUUUAAAUAGCGUUAUUGUUUAGAUUGCUUUGAUAUGGUUUGUUAAAUAGUAAAGUAAAACAUAUAAAUUAUGAUGCUGUUGAUGAGGUAUAUCAGCUUUCUUAGAAAUACAAUGUCUGUGGCAAGUUUGUUUCUGGCAUUUGCUUUGAUGUGCCCAUGAAAUUAUAACCAGUAGGAGAAAAAAAAAGUUAUUUAUUGUUGUUGUUUUUAUAGUGGAGACUGGAGUCUUGCUAUGCUUUCCAGGCUGGUUUUGAACUCCUAACCUCAAGUGAUUUUCCUGCCUCAGCCUCCCAAAGUGCUGGGAUUACAGGCAUGAUCCACCCGGCCCUGCUGUUUUUAAGAAAUUACAAGUUAAAUCUUGUAUCAGUGAACAAGAUAAGGGAUCGUGAUGUGGAGCUGCACUUCCUGGUUCCAAAUCCUGGCUCCUCCCCUCAUCCCUGGCCUCCAGGACCACGGUGCAAGCCCUCAGCAGAGAAGGCCGGAGCGCCUUUUGAUUUCGGGAGACUGGCCCAGGAACUCUAGUCGCUUGGAAGGCGGAAGAGAAGGUGGUACCUGAGCCAGGUAUGAGCCACUCAGAGGCAGCCCGGGGCCGCCACUCACCUCGGAGAGGAGGAGCUGGAGUCCCAUGACCCGGACUGAGAGGAAAGGCGAGACUGAGUCUACCAGGUGAGGUAAAAAACACCCACUUGCUCACCUCGGAAGGGGCGGGCGAGGUGCUGCUCCUGGUGACCCGCGAGCGUGGAGCGCACCUGGGCGGAGGCGGAACUGAGGGGGUGUGGGCACUGCUUGUAGGGCCUGGAAGUAAACUCACCUGUGAGGGAGGCAGAGGCGGGGCCCGGCAAAAACCCACCUGAGCCGCCUGGAAACUCGACCCGCGAGCAGUUCCCGGGCUCGCACGGCGCGGCGGGGCCCCCCUCGGUCAGCCCGCGCG
rnacentral:lncRNA from 1 species